rnacentral:misc_RNA from 1 species
GAUGAAGAACGUAGCGAAAUGCGAUAAGUAGUGUGAAUUGCAGAAUUCAGUGAAUCAUCGAAUCUUUGAACGCACAUUGCGCCCCUUGGUAUUCCAUGGGGCAUGCCUGUUCGAGCGUCAUUUGUACCUUCAAGCUUUGCUUGGUGUUGGGUGUUUGUCCUGAGGGACUCGCCUUAAAGUAAUUGGCAGCCAGUGUUUUGGUUUUGAAGCGCAGCACAAGUCGCGAUUCAAAGCUAUACGCCAGCUUCCACAAGCCUUUUUCACUUUUGAUCUCGGAUCAGGUAGGGAUACCCGCUGAACUUAAGCAUAUCAAUAAGCGGAGGA